rnacentral:rRNA from 1 species
CCUACGGGUGGCAGCAGUGAGGAAUAUUGGUCAAUGGGCGCGAGCCUGAACCAGCCAAGUCGCGUGAGGGAAGACGGUCCUAUGGAUUGUAAACCUCUUUUGUCGGGGAGCAAAAGACGCCACGCGUGGCGUUCCGAGAGUACCCGAAGAAAAAGCAUCGGCUAACUCCGUGCCAGCAGCCGCGGUAAUACGUAGGGAGCAAGCGUUGUCCGGAAUUACUGGGCGUAAAGGGCGCGUAGGUGGGCGCUUAAGUCAGGUGUGAAAACUCCGGGCUCAACCUGGAGACUGCACUUGAAACUGGGUGUCUUGAGGGCAGGAGAGGAAAGUGGAAUUCCUAGUGUAGCGGUGAAAUGCGUAGAUAUUAGGAGGAACACCAGUGGCGAAGGCGACUUUCUGGACUGUACCUGACGCUGAGGCGCGAAAGCGUGGGUAGCGAACGGGAUUAGAUACCCGGGUAGUC